GACGAACGCUGGCGGCGUGCUUAACACAUGCAAGUCGAGCGGGUAAGGCCCUUUCGGGGGUACGACGAGCGGCGAACGGGUGAGUAGCACGUGGGUGACCUGCCCUCAGCUCUGGGAUAAGCCCGGGAAACUGGGUCUAAUACUGGAUAUGACUCCACGGUGCAUGCCGUGGGGUGAAAGCCUUGUGCGGCUGAGGAUGGGCCCGCGGCCUAUCAGCUUGUUGGUGGGGUGAUGGCCUACCAAGGCGACGAC
rnacentral:rRNA from 1 species